rnacentral:rRNA from 1 species
CGCGUAGGCGGCCUGGUCAGUCGGAUGUGAAAGCCCCGGGCUUAACCUGGGAAUUGCAUUCGAUACUGCCAGGCUAGAAUGUAGUAGAGGGAAGUGGAAUUCCAGGUGUAGCGGUGAAAUGCGUAGAUAUCUGGAGGAACAUCAGUGGCGAAGGCGACUUCCUGGACUAACAUUGACGCUGAGGUGCGAAAGCGUGGGAGCAAACA